rnacentral:lncRNA from 1 species
AAUAGCGACCACGGCUUUCAUCAUCGCCCCAGGGAGGGAGCCCAGCCCUGCCCGACCCUGACUAUCUGCGAUCAUGCUGACCCGACCCGCCACGGCCCCAGGCCCCCGAUUUGGGUUCUGGCCCCAGCCCUCAGCUUUGCCUUUGCUACAGCCGGUGCCCGUAUAGCCCAGCCUCGCUCCGGCCGCCCGUCCUGUCCCCCAAUUCUAGGAGGGGUGCAUCUUUCUCCAGGAAGCCCUCUCCGACCGCUGGCUUCCGUGGCCUCUGCGCCCACCCCCCUGCCCGCCCCCGGGCUACUUACAUUUUCUCCACGGCCUCA